GCUUCUUGCCCCUUCAGAGUUUCUCAGCCCCAACACUAAUCCAUCUUUGGCCUUUUCUUCCCUGGAGCCUAGUCUGUCCCCCCAUCAAUUCGUCUCCCCAGCUCUGCCUCCCAUCCCCCAUUCCAACCCUCAUUCCCUCCACAGCUUUCCAACAGUUAUAGUGGAGGGCGAGGGGGACACAAGACCUCCUAUCACCUGAUUCCAGCUCCUUGGCCAGAGGAGCAGUAGCCACCUCGUCCUGGUUCAGCCUGUCUUGAAGCUGCUUAUCGAUCUGAUUUUCAAUAUCUGUCACCAUCUCUGAAGUAGAAGGGCUGACAGACAACAGAAGGGACUUCCUGCCAGGGGAGGAGCUAUGAGCAGAAGGCAGUGAGAGCCCUCUCCUUCCUUGAAGACCAGGAAGAUGUGCAUCCCUCCAACCCUGCCGUGCCUGGGCUCCACCCGGUCUCCCUUUACUCAAAGUAUUUCCUCUCAGCCAUCUCUUUGCUGACUGCUCCCUAGUCCUGGUUCUUAACCCACAGAUAUUUAAAGUGGAAAUGAGAGAACUGAAGUUCUGGAAAGGUGAGAAUCAAGUCUACAGCCCAUUCGUUCAGCAACUUCCUGUUUCCACCCCGUGAAGUUCAGCAGCGCAGCAGCGCAGAGGGAAUUUGCACAGAUGGUUGUGGUGGCAUGGCCCCCGAUCUGUGAGGAAUUCUGGAGUUCUGGAGAAUAGAAGGGGAGCCAAAGACUGGAGGUGAAAAUAGGAGCUUCUAAUCUUUAGGGAAGGACUUCCUUGGUGGUCCAGUGGUUAAGACUCUGCGCUCCCACUGCAGGGGGCGCAGGUUCGAUCCCUGGUCGGGGAACUAAGACCCCACAUGCCUCACCGCCAAAAUAAAUAAAUUAAUUAAUAAUAAUAAGGAGGAGGGAAAGAUAACCCCCACCACCAUUUUGGUAGGUGAGAGAGGAAAGCAGGGGUCAUCAGGAGCUAGCUGGGGUUUGCUAAUCCCUGACCACUCAAGUGGGCACAGGCAUCACCUGGGAGACGGUAAGAGCUGCUGAGAAUCUCGACCCACUCCAGACCUACUCAUCACAACUUGCUUUUUUUUUUUUACCUUUUUUUUUUUUGGCCCCGCUGUG